AGGAGUUCCACCUGGCUCAAUUGAUCCAGGGCGUCGAAGCCAGGGUGCUCAGGAGGCGGGGAGAGCUGGCCCAGGUUGAAUAGGACCCUGCUGGAUGACCGAGGCCAGAAUGCUAGCAUCUGCUUGCAACACGUAUAUGCACACCCAGACACAUGCAUGCACACACAUAUACAUGCAAACCGUCACUUCCAGCCAGCCAUCUUUUGGGAACCCUUGACGGUGCCAGGGCACCUGCUUAGCCACAGAUCUCCAUGAAGAAGCCAUUCCCUGCCCUUUCCAGAGUCUCUAUUUUCUUCAGUAUAAAAUAAAGAUAUUGUGACACUCUCCA